rnacentral:rRNA from 1 species
GAUGAACGCUGGCGGCGUGCCUAAUACACGCAAGUCGAGCGAACGGACGAGAAGCUUGCUUCUCUGAUGUUAGCGGCGGACGGGUGAGUAACACGUGGAUAACCUACCUAUAAGACUGGGAUAACUUCGGGAAACCGGAGCUAAUACCGGAUAAUAUUUUGAACCGCAUGGUUCAAAAGUGAAAGACGGUCUUGCUGUCACUUAUAGAUGGAUCCGCGCUGCAUUAGCUAGUUGGUAAGGUAACGGCUUACCAAUGCAACGAUGCAUAGCCGACCUGAGAGGGUGAUCGGCCACACUGGAACUGAGACACGGUCCAGACUCCUACGGGAGGCAGCAGUAGGGAAUCUUCCGCAAUGGGCGAAAGCCUGACGGAGCAACGCCGCGUGAGUGAUGAAGGUCUUCGGAUCGUAAAACUCUGUUAUUAGGGAAGAACAUAUGUGUAAGUAACUGUGCACAUCUUGACGGUACCUAAUCAGAAAGCCACGGCUAACUACGUG